GAUGAACGCUGGCGGCGUGCCUAAUACAUGCAAGUCGAGCGAACGGACGAGAAGCUUGCUUCUCUGAUGUUAGCGGCGGACGGGUGAGUAACACGUGGAUAGCCUACCUAUAAGACUGGGAUAACUUCGGGAAACCGGAGCUAAUACCGGAUGAUAUUUUGAACCGCAUGGUUCAAAAGUGAAAGACGGUCUUGCUGUCACUUAUAGAUGGAUCCGCGCUGCAUUAGCUAGUUGGUAAGGUAACGGCUUACCAAGGCAACGAUGCAUAGCCGACCUGAGAGGGUGAUCGGCCACACUGGAACUGAGACACGGUCCAGACUCCUACGGGAGGCAGCAGUAGGGAAUCUUCCGCAAUGGGCGAAAGCCUGACGGAGCAACGCCGCGUGAGUGAUGAAGGUCUUCGGAUCGUAAAACUCUGUUAUUAGGGAAGAACAUAUGUGUAAGUAACUGUGCACAUCUUGACGGUACCUAAUCAGAAAGCCACGGCUAACUACGUG
rnacentral:rRNA from 1 species